UACGGAGGGAGCUAGCGUUGUUCGGAAUUACUGGGCGUAAAGCGUGCGCAGGCGGUUCGCCAAGUCAGGUGUGAAAUCCCCGGGCUUAACCUGGGAAUUGCGCUUGAAACUAGCGGGCUUGAGUGUGGCAGAGGGGGGUGGAAUUCCACGUGUAGCAGUGAAAUGCGCAGAUAUCAGGAGGAACACCGAUGGCGAAGGCAGGUCUCUGGGCAUUAACUGACGCUGAGGAGCGAAAGCAUGGGGAGCGAACAGG
rnacentral:rRNA from 1 species